AAUCAACGCUGGCGGCGUGCCUCAGACAUGCAAGUCGAACGAUUAAAGCUCUCUUCGGAGAGUGUAUAGAGUGGCGCACGGGUGAGUAACACGUAAGUAAUCUACCUUUGAGUGGGGAAUAACCCGGGGAAACCCGAGCUAAUACCGCAUAAUGCAGCGGCACCGCAAGGUGACAGUUGUUAAAGGAGCAAUCCGCUUAAAGAGGAGCUUGCGGCAGAUUAGCUAGUGGUAAGGUAAUGGCUUACCAAGGCUUCGAUCUGUAUCCGGCCUGAGAGGGCGGUCGGACACACUGACACUGAAUAACGGGUCAGACUCCUACGGGAGGCGGCAGUCGGGAAUUUUGGGCAAUGGGCGAAAGCCUGACCCAGCAACGCCGCGUGAAGGAUGAAGUAUUUCGGUAUGUAAACUUCGAAAGAAUGGGAAGAAUCAAUGACGGUACCAUUUAUAAGGUCCGGCUAACUACGUGCC
rnacentral:rRNA from 1 species